AGAGUUUGAUCAUGGCUCAGAUUGAACGCUGGCGGCAGGCCUAACACAUGCAAGUCGAGCGGUAGCACAGAGAGCUUGCUCUCGGGUGACGAGCGGCGGACGGGUGAGUAAUGUCUGGGAAACUGCCUGAUGGAGGGGGAUAACUACUGGAAACGGUAGCUAAUACCGCAUAACGUCGCAAGACCAAAGUGGGGGACCUUCGGGCCUCAUGCCAUCAGAUGUGCCCAGAUGGGAUUAGCUAGUAGGUGGGGUAACGGCUCACCUAGGCGACGAUCCCUAGCUGGUCUGAGAGGAUGACCAGCCACACUGGAACUGAGACACGGUCCAGACUCCUACGGGAGGCAGCAGUGGGGAAUAUUGCACAAUGGGCGCAAGCCUGAUGCAGCCAUGCCGCGUGUGUGAAGAAGGCCUUCGGGUUGUAAAGCACUUUCAGCGGGGAGGAAGGCGAUAAGGUUAAUAACCUUGUCGAUUGACGUUACCCGCAGAAGAAGCACCGGCUAACUCCGUGCCAGCAGCCGCGGUAAUACGGAGGGUGCAAGCGUUAAUCGGAAUUACUGGGCGUAAAGCGCACGCAGGCGGUCUGUCAAGUCGGAUGUGAAAUCCCCGGGCUCAACCUGGGAACUGCAUUCGAAACUGGCAGGCUAGAGUCUUGUAGAGGGGGGUAGAAUUCCAGGUGUAGCGGUGAAAUGCGUAGAGAUCUGGAGGAAUACCGGUGGCGAAGGCGGCCCCCUGGACAAAGACUGACGCUCAGGUGCGAAAGCGUGGGGAGCAAACAGGAUUAGAUACCCUGGUAGUCCACGCCGUAAACGAUGUCGAUUUGGAGGUUGUGCCCUUGAGGCGUGGCUUCCGGAGCUAACGCGUUAAAUCGACCGCCUGGGGAGUACGGCCGCAAGGUUAAAACUCAAAUGAAUUGACGGGGGCCCGCACAAGCGGUGGAGCAUGUGGUUUAAUUCGAUGCAACGCGAAGAACCUUACCUGGUCUUGACAUCCACAGAACUUUCCAGAGAUGGAUUGGUGCCUUCGGGAACUGUGAGACAGGUGCUGCAUGGCUGUCGUCAGCUCGUGUUGUGAAAUGUUGGGUUAAGUCCCGCAACGAGCGCAACCCUUAUCCUUUGUUGCCAGCGGUCCGGCCGGGAACUCAAAGGAGACUGCCAGUGAUAAACUGGAGGAAGGUGGGGAUGACGUCAAGUCAUCA
rnacentral:rRNA from 1 species